UUUCAUUGUUGACCCUUUUGCAUCUUGAGAUAUGUGUGUAUUUGCAUGGAAGCAUGAAAGAGCCUGGGGAAAUGUAGUUUAAAAUCUAUUGGGGAUUUGUAUCAUAACCAUAAAUCAGUCCUUUGCUAAUUGGUAAGAAAACAAGAGUCAAACAGUAUAUAAUGUUUUAUGUGCCUCUUAUGUUUUUUUUACGGCAGUACUAACAAGGGUCUGUGUCACAGAGUGGACAGGGAAUUAGCCAGGGAAUUCCAUAAGCUUCAGUGUUCUUCAGCUUCUUUUGCUUAAAAUGCUUCUGAUUUGCAUGUGGCAAUUAGUAUGCUAAUUGGCCUAAUUAGCCCAUGGGACCACACAAGUACUGUGGCAUUAAAAGGUUCAGUCUCAUUAUGACUCAACAAUUCCCACGAGUUAGCGCAAUCAAAAGGCCAUAACAUCCUCCAGAGUAUAUCUGUGGUUUUUUUUGUUAUGCUUUGUAGACAUUUGGGCAAGACCUUGUCCAAAAGGAGGAGAGUUUAGCCUUAUUAGUGGAUACUAAGCGGGCAUUCGAUAGCUGCAUCCUGAGCAGAUGACAUGGAAGAUUGAACUUUUAGCUCAAAGUGCCUUUACUGCUGAUUUGUUUCAUGACCUGAUUUGUCAAGAACAGAGACCUGUGGAUCUAUAUCAGAUCAGCUGCCAGUGGCCUUUGUUGCUUCGUGCAGACACGGAGUAUUGGCUUGUGGGAUUGCUGGGGUAUUGAUGGGGGAAGGAUGAGUGAGGCUUAGUGCAGUGCAGCCCCUCAAGCUCAAGGUUUAUGAGGUGUUAGCUGCCACUUCAUUGACUCCCGACUGGCCCAUUACACUUGGUGCAGACAGAGCUGUCUCAGUUAAAACUCACAGGUUUGUAACGGAAGAAGAGGACUUGCUCCAUGUGGUCAUCGGACAUUCUGC